AUUGAACGCUGGCGGCAUGCCUUACACAUGCAAGUCGAACGGCAGCACGGGAGCAAUCCUGGUGGCGAGUGGCGAACGGGUGAGUAAUAUAUCGGAACGUGCCCAGUCGUGGGGAUAACGUAGCGAAAGCUACGCUAAUACCGCAUACGAUCUAUGGAUGAAAGCGGGGGGAUCGCAAGACCUCGCGCGAUUGGAGCGGCCGAUAUCAGAUUAGGUAGUUGGUGAGGUAAAGGCUCACCAAGCCGACGAUCUGUAGCUGGUCUGAGAGGACGACCAGCCACACUGGGACUGAGACACGGCCCAGACUCCUACGGGAGGCAGCAGUGGGAAUUUUGGACAAUGGGCGCAAGCCUGAUCCAGCAAUGCCGCGUGCAGGAUGAAGGCCUCGGUUGUAACUAGCUUUGUUAGGUAACGAAACGGUAGAGACUCUAAUACAGUUAG
rnacentral:rRNA from 1 species